UAAAUUGACUUUACCACAAAUCUUUGUAGCAUAUCUUCAAAUCAUAAUUCUGUGGAGAAAAUAUGGUUCUAAUAAUUUUAGUUUUCUUGUGCACUUUUAAGAAGAGGAUGAAAAUAUUUACAUGCUCUUUUUCAUGAUUCAAAACUCAAAUUUAUCUUAGGAAAUAUUGUCCCAAAAAAUCAGUGAUAAUUAAUUUACAUUUAUUGAAAAUAUUGUCCAAGAACAUUAUGAAUGGGGCAUCUAUAACCAGCGGUAAGCUUGCAGCGGGUGACAAUUCAGUCGGCCGGACGGCAGGAUAUCUCCUUUAUUAACUACUGAAACUAACGCAAUAUGCAAGAAGAAUCGCUUGAAGAGAUUCCCCCAAAUGCGGUUCGACGAAAGCGCGAUUCAAAAUGGAAUGGAUGUUUUAGUCUUCAAGUAGAUUUGGAUCUUGCCCGUACUGGAUUUUCCCUUAGUAAAGGCAUCGAUAUUCGACCCAUAAUGGUUAAGUGGAUGAGUUUAUAAUUGGAAUCCCUUUGUCAAGUGACGGAAAGGAAACUCCACAAUCUAACAUUGUACUGAGUGUUACUGGUAGGCUUGCUUUAUGAGAUGCUGAGAGGGAAUGGAGAGUAUAUUUUUAAGAAGCAUAUGGGACAAAAAUUGACGCAUUGAGCUACAUGAUUCAUAGAUUUUGGAGAUUGAAGUUAUAAUUCAAGAUGAAAAUUUAGAACAUGCACAAGCUCGUUAUUAUUUUUCUAAGAACGUUAUGUAAAACUUGAUAGUCUUGCUAAAGAUGCUAAUUGAUUAAGGAUUUUUUGUUGAGCAAAUAUUAAAAAAAAAUAUAACAUAUUGCAUUGAAUUUUGUAUUUGAAGAUAUUUUAUAUUUAGUGAUGUAAUUUAUUAAUUUUAUGAUAUGGAGUUCUGUACUAUAGUGGUAAA